rnacentral:rRNA from 1 species
GGUUAAGCGACUAAGCGUACACGGUGGAUGCCCUGGCAGUCAGAGGCGAUGAAGGACGUGCUAAUCUGCGAUAAGCGUCGGUAAGGUGAUAUGAACCGUUAUAACCGGCGAUUUCCGAAUGGGGAAACCCAGUGUGUUUCGACACACUAUCAUUAACUGAAUCCAUAGGUUAAUGAGGCGAACCGGGGGAACUGAAACAUCUAAGUACCCCGAGGAAAAGAAAUCAACCGAGAUUCCCCCAGUAGCGGCGAGCGAACGGGGAGCAGCCCAGAGCCUGAAUCAGUGUGUGUGUUAGUGGAAGCGUCUGGAAAGGCGCGCGAUACAGGGUGACAGCCCCGUACACAAAAAUGCACAUGCUGUGAGCUCGAUGAGUAGGGCGGGACACGUGGUAUCCUGUCUGAAUAUGGGGGGACCAUCCUCCAAGGCUAAAUACUCCUGACUGACCGAUAGUGAACCAGUACCGUGAGGGAAAGGCGAAAAGAACCCCGGCGAGGGGAGUGAAAAAGAACCUGAAACCGUGUACGUACAAGCAGUGGGAGCACGCUUAGGCGUGUGACUGCGUACCUUUUGUAUAAUGGGUCAGCGACUUAUAUUCUGUAGCAAGGUUAACCGAAUAGGGGAGCCGAAGGGAAACCGAGUCUUAACUGGGCGUUAAGUUGCAGGGUAUAGACCCGAAACCCGGUGAUCUAGCCAUGGGCAGGUUGAAGGUUGGGUAACACUAACUGGAGGACCGAACCGACUAAUGUUGAAAAAUUAGCGGAUGACUUGUGGCUGGGGGUGAAAGGCCAAUCAAACCGGGAGAUAGCUGGUUCUCCCCGAAAGCUAUUUAGGUAGCGCCUCGUGAAUUCAUCUCCGGGGGUAGAGCACUGUUUCGGCAAGGGGGUCAUCCCGACUUACCAACCCGAUGCAAACUGCGAAUACCGGAGAAUGUUAUCACGGGAGACACACGGCGGGUGCUAACGUCCGUCGUGAAGAGGGAAACAACCCAGACCGCCAGCUAAGGUCCCAAAGUCAUGGUUAAGUGGGAAACGAUGUGGGAAGGCCCAGACAGCCAGGAUGUUGGCUUAGAAGCAGCCAUCAUUUAAAGAAAGCGUAAUAGCUCACUGGUCGAGUCGGCCUGCGCGGAAGAUGUAACGGGGCUAAACCAUGCACCGAAGCUGCGGCAGCGACGCUUAUGCGUUGUUGGGUAGGGGAGCGUUCUGUAAGCCUGUGAAGGUGUGCUGUGAGGCACGCUGGAGGUAUCAGAAGUGCGAAUGCUGACAUAAGUAACGAUAAAGCGGGUGAAAAGCCCGCUCGCCGGAAGACCAAGGGUUCCUGUCCAACGUUAAUCGGGGCAGGGUGAGUCGACCCCUAAGGCGAGGCCGAAAGGCGUAGUCGAUGGGAAACAGGUUAAUAUUCCUGUACUUGGUGUUACUGCGAAGGGGGGACGGAGAAGGCUAUGUUGGCCGGGCGACGGUUGUCCCGGUUUAAGCGUGUAGGCUGGUUUUCCAGGCAAAUCCGGAAAAUCAAGGCUGAGGCGUGAUGACGAGGCACUACGGUGCUGAAGCAACAAAUGCCCUGCUUCCAGGAAAAGCCUCUAAGCAUCAGGUAACAUCAAAUCGUACCCCAAACCGACACAGGUGGUCAGGUAGAGAAUACCAAGGCGCUUGAGAGAACUCGGGUGAAGGAACUAGGCAAAAUGGUGCCGUAACUUCGGGAGAAGGCACGCUGAUAUGUAGGUGAAGUCCCUCGCGGAUGGAGCUGAAAUCAGUCGAAGAUACCAGCUGGCUGCAACUGUUUAUUAAAAACACAGCACUGUGCAAACACGAAAGUGGACGUAUACGGUGUGACGCCUGCCCGGUGCCGGAAGGUUAAUUGAUGGGGUUAGCGCAAGCGAAGCUCUUGAUCGAAGCCCCGGUAAACGGCGGCCGUAACUAUAACGGUCCUAAGGUAGCGAAAUUCCUUGUCGGGUAAGUUCCGACCUGCACGAAUGGCGUAAUGAUGGCCAGGCUGUCUCCACCCGAGACUCAGUGAAAUUGAACUCGCUGUGAAGAUGCAGUGUACCCGCGGCAAGACGGAAAGACCCCGUGAACCUUUACUAUAGCUUGACACUGAACAUUGAGCCUUGAUGUGUAGGAUAGGUGGGAGGCUUUGAAGUGUGGACGCCAGUCUGCAUGGAGCCGACCUUGAAAUACCACCCUUUAAUGUUUGAUGUUCUAACGUGGACCCGUAAUCCGGGUUGCGGACAGUGUCUGGUGGGUAGUUUGACUGGGGCGGUCUCCUCCUAAAGAGUAACGGAGGAGCACGAAGGUUGGCUAAUCCUGGUCGGACAUCAGGAGGUUAGUGCAAUGGCAUAAGCCAGCUUGACUGCGAGCGUGACGGCGCGAGCAGGUGCGAAAGCAGGUCAUAGUGAUCCGGUGGUUCUGAAUGGAAGGGCCAUCGCUCAACGGAUAAAAGGUACUCCGGGGAUAACAGGCUGAUACCGCCCAAGAGUUCAUAUCGACGGCGGUGUUUGGCACCUCGAUGUCGGCUCAUCACAUCCUGGGGCUGAAGUAGGUCCCAAGGGUAUGGCUGUUCGCCAUUUAAAGUGGUACGCGAGCUGGGUUUAGAACGUCGUGAGACAGUUCGGUCCCUAUCUGCCGUGGGCGCUGGAGAACUGAGGGGGGCUGCUCCUAGUACGAGAGGACCGGAGUGGACGCAUCACUGGUGUUCGGGUUGUCAUGCCAAUGGCACUGCCCGGUAGCUAAAUGCGGAAGAGAUAAGUGCUGAAAGCAUCUAAGCACGAAACUUGCCCCGAGAUGAGUUCUCCCUGACUCCUUGAGAGUCCUGAAGGAACGUUGAAGACGACGACGUUGAUAGGCCGGGUGUGUAAGCGCAGCGAUGCGUUGAGCUAACCGGUACUAAUGAACCGUGAGGCUUAACCUU